CCACCUCAGGUCAGGCGG
rnacentral:rRNA from 1 species